rnacentral:rRNA from 1 species
UAAAGGGAGAGAAGGCGGUGUUUUAAGUUCUUCCUUAAAGACUCGAGCCCAACUCGUAGUAAGGGAAGAAUACUGAAACACUAGAAUUGCAAGGGGCCAACAGAACGGUCGGUGUAGGGGUGAAAUCCGAAGAUAUCGACCGGAAUGCCAAAGGCGAAGGCAGUUGGCUAGUGCAAUUCUGACGCUGAUCCUCGAAAGCUAGGGGCGCGAACCGGAUUAGAGACCCGGGUAGUCCUAGCUGUAAACGAUGGGUGCUAACUUUGGGGAGUUUCGACCCUCUCCGAGGUAAAGCUAACGCGUUAAGCACCCCACCUGGGGAGUACGGCCGCAGGGCUGAAACUCAAAGGAAUAGGCGGAAGCCCGAACAAGCAGUGGACCAUGUUGCUUAAUGCGAGAUGAGCGCAGUACCUUACCCAGGCUUGACAUGCUUGUCUCUUCUUUCGAAAGAAAGAAGAUACGCAAGUAGGGCAAGCACAGGUGUUGCAUGGCCGUCGUCAGCUCGUGGUGUGAAUCGUAACCUUAAGUGGCACAACGAGCGCAACCCCUAUCCUGUGUUACAUGUGUCACAGGAGACUGCCGGGUAUAACCUGGAGGAAGGCGGGGAUGACGUCAGGUCUGCAUGGCCCUUAUGCCCGGGGAUGCAAACAUGGUACAAUGGUAGCUACAACGAGAAGCAAAGGCGUGAGCCGGAGCAAAUCUCUAAAAAGCUACCCCAGUUCGGAUUGAAGGCUGCAACUCGCCUUCAUGAAGCUGGAAUUGCUAGUAAUCGCGGGUCAGCUACACCGCGGUGA